rnacentral:tRNA from 2 species
CCCGCCGUAGUUCAACGGAUAGAACGGCCGCCUCCUAAGCGGCAAAUCCAGGUUCGAUUCCUGGCGGGGGGACCA